rnacentral:rRNA from 1 species
AUUGAACGCUGGCGGCAUGCCUUACACAUGCAAGUCGAACGGUAACAGGUUAAGCUGACGAGUGGCGAACGGGUGAGUAAUGUAUCGGAACGUGCCCAGUCGUGGGGGAUAACUGCUCGAAAGAGCAGCUAAUACCGCAUACGACCUGAGGGUGAAAGCGGGGGAUCGCAAGACCUCGCGCGAUUGGAGCGGCCGAUAUCAGAUUAGGUAGUUGGUGGGGUAAAGGCCUACCAAGCCGACGAUCUGUAGCUGGUCUGAGAGGACGACCAGCCACACUGGGACUGAGACACGGCCCAGACUCCUACGGGAGGCAGCAGUGGGGAAUUUUGGACAAUGGACGCAAGUCUGAUCCAGCCAUGCCGCGUGCGGGAAGAAGGCCUUCGGGUUGUAAACCGCUUUUGUCAGGGAAGAAACGCUCUGGGUUAAUACCUCGGGGUAAUGACGGUACCUGAAGAAUAAGCACCGGCUAACUACGUGCCAGCCGCCGCUGUAAGAC